UUAUCAAGGAACUGCUGCUAAUGCAUCUGGCAGAGUAGUAAGCUAAGCAUAAAGUCAUAGCAAAGUGGAGCUUCAGAAAGAAUCAAGAGCCACAUGGCCAAGCUACCUAUGAAGCUCACUGUCAUCCUCAGGAUGGUGACAUAUCACCAAAGGGCUCUAAACUGCAAUGGUCAGAUUACAAGAGAAUGUAUUAUCAUUAAAUCUUUAUGAAGAAUUCUGUCUGAAAAGCAGAGUGGAAUACACAUGUGAAGAGGACAAAUUAGACAGAAGAAAGGGAAUUAAUAUUUAUUGUAGCAGUACAGGAGAGAAGAAGAAAGACAGCAGAGUGAAGACCCUGGAAAAAACACUGUCCAACAUCUGGGAAAUUUUGCAGGUCCAUUGUCAAGGAAGAUAAGAAAAACAGGCAUUCUGUGAUUGAUCAUGUGCAUCAGUCUCAUGAUUACUGGGAUGGAAGUUCCUGUGAGUCCAAUAUCAUCAGAAGAGACAUCAAACAAAAGUUGAGCAAUACAGAAAACAUGUGACUACAUAGUAGGAAGAAAAAUUUAGUUGUUCUUUCUUUCUAAUUUUUACAAUUUUACUAACAGCAUCCUACCUCAAAUAGGUGCUUAAAUUGUUUG